UACAGAGGGUGCGAGCGUUAAUCGGAAUUACUGGGCGUAAAGCGCGCGUAGGCGGCUUUGCAAGUCGGGUGUGAAAUCCUCAGGCUUAGCCUGGGAACUGCAUUCGAGACUGCAUUGCUAGAGUAUGGGAGAGGGAGGUGGAAUUUCCGGUGUAGCGGUGAAAUGCGUAGAUAUCGGAAGGAACAUCAGUGGCGAAAGCGACUUCCUGGACCAAUACUGACACUCAUGUGCGAAAGCGUGGGGAGCAAACAGG
rnacentral:rRNA from 1 species